rnacentral:rRNA from 1 species
UGCGCAGGCGGGCUUGUAAGUCAGUGGUGAAAUACUGCCGCUUAACGGUAGAACUGCCAUUGAUACUGCGAGUCUUGAAUAUGGCUGAGGUAGGCGGAAUGUGUUGUGUAGCGGUGAAAUGCAUAGAUAUGACACAGAACGCCGAUUGCGAAGGCAGCUUACUAAGCCAUUAUUGACGCUGAGGCACGAAAGCGUGGGGAGCGAACAGGAUUAGAUACCCUGGUAGUCC